UUUGCAGACUACUUCCUGUUCAUUCCAUUUUACUAAAAACAAGAGAGAAGGUGUCACGACUGCCCGUAACAGGAGAGACACUCGCUGAUGGAUAUUACAAGGUUUAAUUUAAUAGGGCAAUACAAGAUAAUCGUAAGGGACCGGCAGGGUCAAAAACAACAACAACAACAACAACAGCAGCAACAUAGACAUACCAGAGGGGAGUCGGACUGAAGAAAGGUCGGUACACGGGAGAGCAAAAACCAGAAUCUAAUUGCCCUCCUGCAGUUCCUUCUGAAUGUGACUGCAGGCAGUGUUGGCUGAUACUGCAGACUGUGUGUCCAGCGUGUACCAUUCUAUCAGCUCUACUGUCCUCUCUGUGUGUGUUCUUCUGCUGCCGCAAGACAGUGAUUAUGGAGUCUGACAGUGAUCAGAGAGGACCAAUCCACAGGCAGCAAACCAGUGAGGAACAGGACAAAGACACACAAGUGUACUACGCUUCACUGAACAUUCCCAAAGAUGCAAGCAGACGGAUCAAGAGGAACCCCCCAAUGAACCCUGACUUCAGUUUGUACAGUGAGCUCAAUAAGGCCAAAAAGGAACAAGAUUAGGGCUUUAGAUGUGAUUAAUACGUCCAUCAAGAUUUCACUUAGUUUUUUCUUAAAUUUGUUCUUGAGAAAGGUCCUAAGAAAAAGUCUACGUCAGAUUCAUGAUGUGUUCUUCAACCGCAGAACACACAUGGUUCACACUUUUGUGCUCUUGAGUGUGUGUAGAUUCUGUUCUUACCAAAAAACAAAGAAAACAAGGUGGGCUUUAAGAAGAAAUUUCUUCUUACGAAUGGUUGGUGAAUGAGACCCAUUGUUAGCCAGGAGAAUUAAUGUUAAAUCCACAUGUAAUCUUUUCUGCAACAUUAACAAUGGAAGGAAUUUUUGCUUUUUUUUUUGGUCUUGCUGAAUUGAAGUGGAACAUAGAGAGGCUAUUUCUUUAAAUGCUUUAUACAUAUAAAAUGUGGCUUUUUUCCAGGCACAUUUAUUACUAAAGGCAGAUUUUGCUCACUGGCUGAUUUAUAGUUUAAAGCCAAGGCACCCUAUUUAGACUUUAUAACACUUCACCAAUUCUCUUAAAUUCUAUGUUCAAUUUUUCAGUUUUUUUAUUUGAUCUUUUUAUUCUUUCUUACAUUGCUUUGUUAAUGCCUUGUGCUUUGUGUGCUGCUUCAUGUAAAAUGCUAAUUAAAAGUUUACAAAAUGUAUGAAGCUGAUUAAGCAAUGCUUUUCCAAUUUUAUACGUCCUGAAGAAGCGUUGAAUUAGGAUUCAAAGCAUAAUGUCUGUAGCAUCAUGGAGCUAUGGUCUGUUUGUAGACCUUCAAUGCAAACUGAUGGAGC
ensembl:lncRNA